rnacentral:rRNA from 1 species
GCAACUCGACUACACGAAGCCGGAAUCGCUAGUAAUCGCGGAUCAGAAUGCCGCGGUGAAUACGUUCCCGGGUCUUGUACACACCGCCCGUCACACCAUGGGAGUCGGAAAUGCCCGAAGUCUGUGACCCAACCGGAAGGAGGGAGCAGCCGAAGGCAGGUCGGAUGACUGGGGUGAAGUCGUAACAAGGUAUC